CUGUGUGCACUAACGGUGGUGGGCGCUGGGCUGAGCCUGCUGCCCGGCCCUCCCGGGUGCUAACCUGGCUUCGCUCUGGCCCCUGGGGCACGUGGCAGGUGCCUCCUGUAGCCCUUGGUGGCGGCUCCUUCCGAUCCACUUCCUUGUGCCACCUCCACUUGGGCAGGAUGCAGCCUCAGCGCCCGCCUUGAGACCAAUGGCCAGGGACGCGGUGGAGCUCCCCGUGGGAGGGAGGGGGCCAAGGCUGCUCCUGCCCCGGUCUUGGCCCUAACCGUGGCCCGCUGCCCCUGUGGCCCUGCAGCUUUACUGACCCCACCUCCCCGGGGGCGCCCUCUGCCCGGAGUCUAGGCGACUCUGGGGCUGCUGCAGUGCGGGUGCUGGCCACGCACGUCCCCAGGGAGGCUGUGAGGGGCUGCAAUGGGGUGGGUGGCCCCUCCCUUCCCAUAGCCGGCUCUGUGUUGGGCAGGUGCCUCCCAGCGAAUGUGGACAGGACCACCGGGGGCCAUGUGGCCUGAAGGGCUGAGGUGAAGCCAGGCGCCCCAUGAGAGGCCUCCGGCCCAAGCCCAGAGCCAAGUGAGGGACCCACAGCCAUGGCACUGCAGUGGCCGGGACAUCCUGCGAGGAGGCUCCACUGGCCAGGUGGGACUGGGCCCCGAGGAGCCGGACUCCGUGCCUUACCCAGCCGGGGGCCUCGGAGCUCCCGGUGGCGUCGUGGCCAGGACCCCACAGGCUGCAGCGCCAGGGGCUGGCGCCCCUUGUACCACCCGCACGCACACAGCUUGUGACCUGGUUUAUGACCUGGCAUCAGCCCACAACCCUGUCACCCAGCCCUGCUCCCUGGGUGCCUUGUGGCCCUUGGAAGGUGUUGCCUCCCCCCGCAGCCCUGCCCUCGCCAGCUCAGCCAGGGGAUUUUUUUUUUUAAUUUUGUGUUUUUGGAGACAGGCUUGGUAAGUUGCUCGGGCCGGCCUCCAGCUUGGGACCCUCCUGGCUCAGCCUCCUGUGAGGCCGCAGUUACAGGCAUGUGUGACCCUGCCCGGCCCUCAGCUGGCUUUUGAUUGAAAGAUGGCUCUUCUUGAGUCUGUGCUGUUCAGAGGCAGCUGUGUUGGGCCUGGGUGGUGGGCUAGCAGGCAGUGCCAUGGGCAGUGUGCCCAGCCCCUGAGGGCAGCCUUGAGGCCCUGCACCUGGACUGGCCACUUCAUCAACACCCCCCAAGACCAGCUGCCCAGGCCCCAGGUGGGCCACCGAGGUGGGAAGCAGCAGGGACUUUGACCAAUAAAGAGCAGCAUUGGGCCACCAUGACUGUUGUGUUUGGGGCAGAAGGGGU
rnacentral:lncRNA from 1 species